rnacentral:rRNA from 1 species
GAUGAACGCUGGCGGCGUGCCUAAUACAUGCAAGUCGAGCGGACUUGAAAAGCUUGCUUUUCAAGUUAGCGGCGGACGGGUGAGUAACACGUAGGUAACCUGCCUGAUAGAUUGGGAUAACAUCGAGAAAUCGGUGCUAAUACCGAAUAUUUCAUCACUAUCGCAUGAUGGAGAUGAGAAAGGGGGCGCAAGCUAUCACUAAAAGAUGGGUCUGCGUCUGAUUAGCUAGUUGGUGAGGUAAUGGCUCACCAAGGCGACGAUCAGUAGCCGGUCUGAGAGGAUGAACGGCCACACUGGACUGAGACACGGCCCAGACUCCUACGGGAGGCAGCAGUGGGGAAUCUUCCGCAAUGGACGAAAGUCUGACGGAGCAACGCCGCGUGAGUGAAGAAGGUUUUCGGAUCGUAAAACUCUGUUUUCAGGGACGAAUGUGCAGCUUGUGAAUAAUUAGCUGUAAUGACGGUACCUGAGUAGAAAGCCACGGCUAACUACGUGCCAGCCGCCGCGGUAACAC